GUUUCAUGGCGUAGUGACAGUCUUGGGAACCCAGUGUGUGUGGGAUGCCAGCGGUCAUAUCCCAUAGAAAAUGAAAUAAAUAAAUAACGUAAUGAAAUUAAUUCACAUCAUAAUUCUUUAAUACAUACUGGCGUGAACAUUAGAUGGGGAAAUAGAGCAACUUUAAAAAAAAGAAAAAGGGCCCUCGUGGCCCAGUGGGUAGAGUGAUGCACUUGGAGUUUGGCGUGAGGGAAGUGAGGGGCGCGUAGGUUCGAACCCCCCUCUCGGAACUCACAAAAACCUUCAAAGAGCAUCCCUCCAUCACCAUGUGUGCCUCAAACACACAGGUACGGUGAUGGAGCUGCCCACGGGGAGGAGGGGAGGUGAGUGCGCAGCACCUCCCUACCCCUCCCCAGGGGAGGAAGGCACCGCCUUACCGCCCCCGGGAGAGCAAGGGAGGUGAGUGCACAGCGCUUCCCUUCUCUCCCCUACCUAACCCUGGCAAGUCUACGGACUACCAGGCAAAAAAUAAUAAAAAAAUAAAAAAAUAAAAAAAUAAAAAAAAAUAAAAAAAAAAUAAAAAUAAAGGUAAGUGCAUAGCACUUCCCUUCUCUCCACCUAACAGGAAAAAAUAAAUAAAAAAAAAACAUAAAGGUGAGUGCAUAGCACUUCCCUUCUCUCCCAACCUACCAGGCAAAAGAUAGAAAAAAAAUAGAAAAAAAAAUAAUAAUAAAAAUUAAGGUGAGUUCAUAGCAGUUCCCUUCUCUCCCAACCUUCCACGCAAAAAAAAAAAAAAAAUUAGAUAAAUAAGUAAAUAAAUAAAAUAAAAUAAAAUAAAAUAAAAUAAAUAAAUAAAGCAAAUAAGUAAAUAAAUGAAUAAAAUAAAAAUAAAAACCUCCCUACCACCUCGGACCUCGGGAGAGCAAGAGAGGUGAGUGCACAGCACUUCCCUUCUCUCCCCAAGUCUACGGACUAACACACCAAAAAGAAUAAAAUAUAUACAGGUAUAAAGAAAAAAAAAACAAUAAAAUAAAUAGAAAAUAAAAUAAAAUAAAUAAAUAAAAUUAAAUUAACAAAAAAUAAAUAAAGUAAAAGCCAAAAAACUCCUAAUUCCCCCCGUCAAUAAAAGUGACUAAGUCUGGCAAUCAACAAUAAAUAAUAAAAAUAAAUCAAUACCAACCUGACUGAUCCUGACAACUCCAAAGACCACCACCCCACCUGUGAAGCACGGGAGGUGAGUGUGCAGCACCUCCCUACCCUUCCCAGUCUCCCAGUUUGACUUUGACCAACAAUCUGACUCAUUCUGGCAACUCCAACUGUACAGACCACCACCAGUACUCCAGUACUCCCCACCCUGGCAACUGAUCCUGGCAAGGUGAGUGCGUAGCACUUCCCGUGACUCAUCCUGGCAACUCUAGAGACCCACCAUACUGACUGACCCUGGGAAGCACGGGAGGUGAGUGUGCAGCACCUCCCUACCCUUCCCAGUCUCCCGUCAAUCUGACUCAUCCUACCAACUCCAAAGAGCAACUCCAACUGUACAGACCACCACCACCACCACCCCCUCUGAUCUUGGCAAGGUGAGUGCGUAGCACUUCCCUUGUCUGACCCUGACUGACUGACCCUGGCAGCUCAAAAAAAACAAACAACCUGCCUGAUUUACAGAUAUGUAAUCACCAAACUGACUGGCCCUGGGGAGCAUGUGAGGUGAGUGUGCAGCACCUCCCUACACUUCCCACUCUCCCAGUUUGACCUUACUCAUCCUGGCAACUUCUAAGAGCAACUCUCUGACACUGUGACUCUGAUCCCUACAUCCCUACAUCUUACCCUGUCCAGGGUAGGUGAGUGCGUAGCACUUCCCUACCACCAGCCUGACUGACCCUGGCAACUCUAAAAACAACCAUCCUGACUGACUUACAAAUCUUACUCUAAUCUGGCAACAGACCACCAAAUUGACUGACCGUGGGGAGCAUGGGAGGUGAGUGUGCAGCACCUCCUACUUUCUCCACUCUGUCUACCCUACCACCUACCAACUCAGACCAUCAAACUGACUGUCUUAGAACAAGUGUGUGUACACCGAGGGAGAGUUACAUAAAGUUAAAGGACAGCAAAGCAGAAGGCUCUCUCCUCACCCUCCACUCCCUCCGUCAUAA